GGAGCAGAGGACGACCUUACGGUGGGACCAUCAGUGACUAAAACACGAGAGCCGGGAAAGGGGCUGGUGCCAAGUUGAUCCGCCAACAAGGCGGCGUCACGGAGCCUCUGGUUGAAUUGUUUCAAAAGCAAGUCCCUGAAGGGCACAGAUGAGCAACCAUGUGGAUGUAACAUGAUGGGAAGUUCUUGACGGCGGAUGAAUAAUCCGACCGAUGUUCUGGAAAAAGGUUUGGUCUCCCUCUCACGCAGGCUGGCUCUCUGUUUUUGAUACACCGAGUGUCUCUCCCUCUGCUUGCGUCGCAUCCAGAUCUUCAACUCCCGCCUGUAGUCUUCAUCGUCGGGGAGAGCACACCUCGUGGAAAUCUGCCGACUUGCUUCUUGCUGCUCUUUCCUGCACCACAUCGCCGCUUUGAACUCCGCGAUACUCUCAAAUCGCUCUCAAUUGAGCGAGAACUGUACCUGCUGUCGAGCGUGUUUGAUAAAGAUGCGUCCAGGUCCAUCUGGGAUAUGUAACCUUCUCGCACCAAACCUUCCAGGAUCUCCGCUGUGUCGGACAAGCCCAUCUGGUCCAGGCUCUCGUCGACCGUCCUGUGGGUGACACACGAACACAGUAAGACAAAUAAAAAAAAAAAAAAUCCAAAACACAUGAAGGCAUAAUGUGUAUUGUGUGUCAAAUGAUUAAAAUAUGUCAUACGUACUCAUCAAACGUUUCCAAUGUUACAGUUGACAGAUGCUCUGUUGGAGGAAGACAAUAGGAUAACAAGAAUUCAUUGUAACACACGGCUGGAGAAAAUAUCUGAAUGAAUGUCGUGUCUUUACUUAGAAGGCUCUGGUGGCCGGGAUGAAGCUGAGAGGAGGAAGUUAGAUGCGGAGUGGACGGCUUUCGGUCAGGGCUGUGGUUGACAUUGUGGAAUAUGUCUACUCUCUUGUCCUCCUCUUCAUUCUCGUCCUCCUUGCAGAUGUCGGGUUCUGGUGCGGUGUGAGGUUGCGGCGGUGGGGCUCCUUUGUGAUUGAUUCAAAAAAUUCAUUUUCGAUUCGUUUCGUUUGUUUCCCUUUCUCGUUAUGUGUUAGCAUUGAUUGUGCAGGAAAGUUAAAAACAAGAAACUUACUGCUUUCGAGGAUGUUCUUUCUCACGACGACGUGAGGAGUGUGCUUUGGCUGUGCUUUGGGCUUUUCCUCCGGGAGAGACAAUCUUACUGUUUUUCUUACUGUGGGCUUCACAUUCGGAGAUAAAGCUGGGGAGAAUUGCUGUGGCUUGGAUGGCUACAGAAAGAGAAAAUCAUGCCAGAUUACUAGAUCUGAAUCAUGAGAAUGAAUAUGCAAAUGCUAAAAUACCUGCUUUGGAAUUUUGGACUGAGGCAGGUCCUGCUCCAGGCAGUCGGCGAUGUUCUGCAGCGCAGCCAGCUGGGAAUCCAGUUUGGACAGAUGGGACGAGAACCAAACCACGGCGGUUUCGGACGGGAGAUUGCAAGUCAAAUCCAGACCUGUUGGGGUGACGGUUUUGGGGGUUUUCUCAUCGGCGGGGCGAGCACUCUUGAUGACAGAAGUGGCGAGAAUGUGAAGCUGAGCAGGCGUGAGGACAGGAGGUAUGGAAGAAGCGUCUUUCAUUCC